rnacentral:rRNA from 1 species
AACGAACGCUGGCGGCAUGCCUAACACAUGCAAGUCGAACGAAGCCUUCGGGCUUAGUGGCGCACGGGUGCGUAACGCGUGGGAAUCUGCCUUUUGCUUCGGAAUAACAGUUAGAAAUGACUGCUAAUACCGGAUGAUGUUCCCCUGAGAGAUCUUGGGGACCAAAGAUUUAUCGGCAAGAGAUGAGCCCGCGUAGGAUUAGGUAGUUGGUGGGGUAAAGGCCUACCAAGCCGACGAUCCUUAGCUGGUCUGAGAGGAUGAUCAGCCACACUGGGACUGAGACACGGCCCAGACUCCUACGGGAGGCAGCAGUGGGGAAUAUUGGACAAUGGACGCAAGUCUGAUCCAGCAAUGCCGCGUGAGUGAUGAAGGCCUUAGGGUUGUAAAGCUCUUUUACCAGGGAUGAUAAUGACAGUACCUGGAGAAUAAGCUCCGGCUAACUCCGUGCCAGCAGCCGCAGUAACAC